rnacentral:misc_RNA from 1 species
ACCAACACGACGCGAGCAGGAGAAGUGGGUUAGGGCUGCAAAGGCUGCAACUGGAGGCAGUGAAGUGUUACUCCGAGAAACAAGACGUUCACAAGAGGACCCAAAUAUUUUGGCUGCUCAGUCAGAGGAGCAGUAUCUUAAGUUGAAGGACAAAUUACAGUUACUCACCCUUGGGAUUGGUGGUGUUGGCAUAGUUUCAGCCUAUGUCUCUUAUUCUCCUGAAAUUGCAGCAAGUUAUGGUGCUGGGCUACUUGGAUCGUUGAUGUACAUGCGUAUGUUGGGGAACAGUGUGGAUUCUCUAAGGACAGAUGGACCCAAAGCGCUUAUCAAGGGAGCGGUUGGGCAGCCAAGGCUACUGGUUCCUGUUGUUUUGGUCAUGAUCUAUAACCGGUGGAAUGGUAUCCUUUCGGUGGAGUAUGGACUCAUGCACCUCGAGUUGAUACCCA